AUGAACGCUAGCGGCAGGCCUAAUACAUGCAAGUCGAACGGGAUUCAGAGCUUCGGUUCUGAUGAGAGUGGCGCACGGGUGCGUAACACGUAUGUAACCUACCUUAAUCAGGGGGAUAGCCUCUCGAAAGAGAGAUUAAGCCCGCAUAAAAUAACGAAGUGGCAUCACUAUGUUAUCAAAUAUUUAUAGGAUUAAGAUGGGCAUGCGGAACAUUAGCUAGUUGGUAAGGUAACGGCUUACCAAGGCUACGAUGUUUAGGGGAUCUGAGAGGAUGACCCCCCACACUGGUACUGAGACACGGACCAGACUCCUACGGGAGGCAGCAGUAAGGAAUAUUGGUCAAUGGGCGGAAGCCUGAACCAGCCAUGCCGCGUGCAGGAAGACGGCCCUACGGGUUGUAAACUGCUUUUAUACGGGAAUAAACCUUCGUAUGUAUACGAAGCUGAAUGUACUGUAAGAAUAAGGAUCGGCUAACUCCGUGCCAGCAGCCGCGGUAAUACGGAGGAUCCAAGCGUUAUCCGGAUUUAUUGGGUUUAAAGGGUGCGUAGGCGGCUUUUUAAGUCAGUGGUGAAAGACGGCAGCUUAACUGUCGCAGUGCCAUUGAUACUGAAGAGCUUGAAUGUACUAGAAGUAGGCGGAAUGUGACAAGUAGCGGUGAAAUGCAUAGAUAUGUCACAGAACACCGAUUGCGAAGGCAGCUUACUAUGGUAUUAUUGACGCUGAGGCACGAAAGCGUGGGGAUCAAACAGGAUUAGAUACCCUGGUAGUCCACGCCCUAAACGAUGAACACUCGAUGUUGGCGAUAUACGGUCAGCGUCUAAGCGAAAGCGUUAAGUGUUCCACCUGGGGAGUACGCCCGCAAGGGUGGAACUCAAAGGAAUUGACGGGGGCCCGCACAAGCGGAGGAGCAUGUGGUUUAAUUCGAUGAUACGCGAGGAACCUUACCCGGGCUUGAAAGUUAGUGAAUGUGGCAGAGUACGCCACAGUCCUUCGGGACACGAAACUAGGUGCUGCAUGGCUGUCGUCAGCUCGUGCCGUGAGGUGUUGGGUUAAGUCCCGCAACGAGCGCAACCCCUGUGAAUAGUUGCCAGCAUGUUAUGGUGGGGACUCUAUUCAGGACUGCCUACGCAAGUAGGGAGGAAGGAGGGGACGACGUCAAGUCAUCAUGGCCCUUACGUCCGGGGCUACACACGUGCUACAAUGGGCCAUACAGAGGGCAGCGACCUGGCAACAGGGAGCCAAUCUCAAAAAGUGGUUCACAGUUCGGAUCGGGGUCUGCAACUCGACCCCGUGAAGUUGGAUUCGCUAGUAAUCGCAGAUCAGCAAUGCUGCGGUGAAUACGUUCCCGGGCCUUGUACACACCGCCCGUCAAGCCAUGGAAGCUGGGGGUGCCUGAAGCCGGUAACCGCAAGGAGCCGUCUAGGGUAAAACCGGUAACUGGGGCU
rnacentral:rRNA from 1 species